CGGGUCCUUGGGGAGUCGCUGGGUUUUCCCGCUUCCCCCCUGGGGAACUUGGCUAACAAUGAGAGUUGCCGAAGUCGCCGGUGUCCCAAAAGGAGCCCCAGAGACACCUGUUUGGAACAGAAGCGGGUAAAGGAAGUGGUCACCCAUUAGGUACAUAAUUGAGCACUUGCUAUGGGCCAGGCGCUGCUCUGAUAUUUGUAUACGCUGGAGAACAAAACAGGCCUUCCCUGCUGUGGAGGAGCUGAUUCUGGGCCGCAGGGGCGGGAGAUGAGGGUUAUCUGCAAAGAAUCUGGCCCCUGUCAGAUUCUCCCAUCCUACUAUGUACAUACAACUCUUCUCAUCGAGAUGUCGGUCCAUUUCCUCUUUCCUUGAGCCUGGCCUGACUCUCUGACUGCUUGGACCAGUAGAACAUGGAAAAGGCUACUGAAUGAUGGGACACCACGUGGAGAGCGUCCAGGGUGGUCUGCACUGUUCCUACCACUCCAGCUGAGGUGACAGACGUGUGAGGAAGGUCCUCUUGGCUGAUCCAUCCUAACAGAGCUCCUGGCUGACUACAGCCGUGGUGGGGCCCUGCAAAGCGGCAAGACUCUAGAGUCCUCCUUCCCUUGACAUGAUGCAAGAUCAGAAGAAAUAUCCAUGAGGAGACAGACAUACGUGGACCUAAGACAGCUCCUUGGAAUGAUUACUCCCCUCUGGUGGCAGCAGGGACCUGAAUGGAUCAAUCAAGGAAACCAGAGGAAAAGUAUGCAUCUCAGCAAAUUCUAGAGUGAAUAAAUGAUGCUAACCCUGGGCUGGAUACCUCCUGGGAUAUACCCCCAAGUAUGUGGACUGGGGCAGUGAUGGGAAAGACUGGAAUUGACCAAUACUUGGUUUCCUCUACUGGUCUUCUUUGAGGGUGGGUUGGGCAUGCUUGUGUUUUAGGGAAUCAUAUCUGCUGGGAUUUUCUCUUGUUGGUCUCCAGAAGCACGGUUCAUGCAGACAGAUGAGCACUGAGGAUAAUGAUCUCUCGAGUUGGAAGCCCCCUGGGUGUGGACAUUUGUUGCAUGGCAGAGUGGGAAUCGGUCAUGGCAUACUCCAGCACUGUGUGUCUAUAUCUCUGCUGGUCUUCCAGAUAUCUGAAGGCUGGGACUGUGCUCACCCCAUGCAUCCUGAGGUGCUCUACCUCUGCCCCUUCCAGAGGAGCUCUGCCAACUUGUCCCUAUUGGAGCUGAUGUUCCAUAGGGAGAGUCCUGACCCACUCUUCUGCCCUGCUCUGGCUUGGGCCCUUAGCUCACCCAUGUAGAAGCAAAUGGGAGCAGAAGUUGCAGGAGUCUCUACCCCUCAUAUGUGUCCCUUCUCCAUUAGACAAGUGUAUUCCACCCCCGGCACCUGGUGUCUAAGCAAAUCUGUGGCCUAAGCAAAUUGUCCUCCCGCAAAUCCAUGGCCACCUCCCACCUUGGGCAGAGCCACAGACAGAGCUGUUCCUAUGUUGGCCGGGGAUAUGUGUUUUGUGUGCAUAUCUGCUGGGUGGUGACUCUGUGGCCCUGACAUCUCCAGAUGCUGCCUGGAGUGGAUGUCCCAUAGAAACACUGUUUCAGUUUCAGAGGUGGCAAAAUUGGAGGGUCCUAUUUGUCCUGUUUGUACCAUGGCCCUGCCUGGAAGGGGAUACUGAGGGAUUAAACAGUGUUGUAAAAUUUUCCCAUGUUACCAAUAGUUACAACUCUUUCCUGUAAAUGGUAAGAUCCAAUCAAACAGACAUGGUGUGUCAAUGAGCUUGAUAUUAUUUCAGUGUGGCUAUAUGACUCAUCAUGGGAUUAGUUUCCUAGGGUGGCCAUAACAAACUACCAUAAACUUGGUGGCCUCAAACAACAUGUCUGUAUUGUCUCACAGCUUUGCAGACCAGGUGUCCAAAAUCAGUCUGGGUUGGUUCCUUCUUGGAGGCUAAGGACAAUCUGUUCCAUGCCUCUCCCUGUGGCAAUCCUUGGCAUUCCUUGGCUUUGGCAGUGUACCAGUCUCUGUGUGUCUGUGUCCAAAUUGUCCUCUUUUUGUAAGGAGUGCUGGUCACUGGAUAAAGGCCUAUGCCAAUACAGUGUGAUCCAUCUUAACUUUUUUUCUGUGAAGACUGUCUCCAAAGAAGGUCACAUUCACGGGUAUCAGGAGACAGGACUUAAAGAUAUUUUUGGGAGUCAGGGGACACAAUUCAAUCCACAACAAUUAUCAAGGUAAAUUAAAAGAUAAUUAGAAUAUUAAAAUAUGACAAAUCUUGUUAUUCUUUGAACAACAGUGUUGUGAAAUUUUCCUGGGCAUACCAAUAGCCACAUCUUUUUCAAAUACAGAAAGGCUGGUUUACAGUAAUCUAAGUUUACAGUAGUACUUAGGUUACUGCAACAUGAAAAAAAUACAUGCUCUCACUUUUCUUAAACUCCUCAUUAAUGCAUGCAAGUAGAAAAAGAGUGAUAAAUACUAGUAGUCCUCUGCAAUAAAUGGCAAAACAAAUAUACAGAAAUCAUAUUCAUACAACUGUGAAAAAAUUAGUUUCUCUCUUUUAAAAAGAUAACCAAAGCUUGUCUCUUACUUUAUCUUAUUUUAAGGUGAAACAUUUCAUGGAGGGGAGAUAGAUUUAAGAAUGAACUUCUACCUUCAUAAUUCUUUAAUUUCUUUCUUUCUUUUUUACACUGUGGAUUCCCCCAAAAUAGAAAUUAGUGCUUUAUCACAUAAUUAUUUCAGUUUUACACUGUUUUGUGCAUAUAUUACACUAAGAGUGAGAGGGACUUUUAAUUCAACCCUGUAAAACCUCCCUGCUUCAUUCUGAUCUGUUUAAAACAACCUGCUCAGUUCAGUGUUUCCUGCUCUGAUUUCCUGCAGCUUUGAAGGAAAUGAGGUUACCAUGGAGUAGGAAAAAAGGUAUAUGUUUGCAGGUGAAAGGCAAUACUUUUAAAAACAUGUCAGGAAACUAAAGGAAUUUCAGGCCUGUUUAGCUUGUGAAUAUGCAUGCAUAAUGAAUGAUUGCAACUGAGACUAAUGGGAGAUUUCACAUAAUUUUCCAACGCUUGGAAAUAAGGCCAAGAGAGGGUUAGGGUUAGCUUGUCCUUUCAAUGUCAUACUGCAACAUUGUUCAAUAAGUCCACUCAAAGAUUGUUGAGUGAUCGGGGUGGUGGUGGGGUUAUGCCAUUGUCUGACUCACUAUUAUUAAUUGUAGCUCAGAAUGUUAACUUGCAGGGCUUGUCUGAGAGAGGCAGAUAAUUUCCAUCAGACAAAAAAGAUCACAUAACCGUAGUUCAUGGUACAUUUGCCCUGGAGUUCACUAAAUGGUCUGUUACCCAGCUCUCUUCUUUUCACAGUCCUUAUGUGUACGUGUAAAUCCCUAGAGCCUCUAAGUACCUUUUGAACAAGCUCUGCCCUCUUAUUGGGUCCCAUGUUAGAGAACUAAUAAAUCCUAAGCCUUUAUUUA